AUCGAACCCGAGUGCAUUUAUGGAAUAUAUCAACGAUAAGAAAAUUUCCGACACUGAGUAUCAACGAGAUGGCGCCGUGGAAGGUGGUGAUGUAAACACCUUCCGUGACGACCGACCCGAAUACUCACGUGGUGGGCGCGGCCGCAGGGGCGGGGCUCACCGAUCGGACAACUGGCGCUCUGACCCGUCCGGCGGCGGCGGCGGAAACCGCGACGACAAUGAGGAGUACCGUGGCGGACGCGGUGGCUACCGCGGUGGUCGCGGCGGUCGCGGCGGUGGUCGCGGUCGUGGCUCCUACAAUGCCUGGACAAACCGUGAAACCCGCGACGAGGACAACGCCAGCCCGGCAGCGGCGGAUGCCGCUGGUGACCGCGCCUGUGCCAGCAAUGCUUCCACGGCUCCCGCUCCCGCCAGCGCUCCUGCGCCUGCUCCUGCUGCUGCGCCGACCCCGGCGAGUGCUCCUGUGAGCGCCCCGGAGAAGGCGCCGGCCAGCCUUCCUGUCGAGACUGGUGGUUUCGCCCCUCCUGCGCACGAGAGACGUGAGGCGGUGUCUGAGCCCUGGAGUCGCGAGGAUGACCGUGGCUACGGCCGCGGCGGACGUGGUGGUUACCGCUCUGGCGGCCGCAACUACGACGGUGGCUUCGGCGGCCGUGGUGGUCGCGGUGGGCGGCGCUACUACGAUGCUGAGGAGGAGGGCGGUGGCGGCUACCGCCGCCGCGACUAUGAUGACGGCGAGGGCGAGGAGGGCGGCUACUCUCGCAACUACGACAGCGGCUAUGGCGGUGGCGGCUACCGGCGUGGCGGUUACGGCGGCCGUGGUGGUCGCGGUGGCCGGCGCUACUACGACGACGAGGACGACUACGGCGAGGGCGGCGACCGUGGCGGCGGCACGGGCAACGAGGACGACGACUACGAGGACGGCGGCUACGAUGCCUACCGCCGCGGUGGCUCUCGCUGGCGUCGUGGGGGCUAUGGCCGGGACUACGACUAUGACCGCCCGCGCGGACGUGGUGAGCGUGGUGGUCGCCGUGACUUCCGCUCCUUCCGCAACGAGGACGACGUCAUGGAGGAGUCCGGCGGCGCUCAGGGCAACGCAUGGGCCUCUUCGCCUGCGCCGACGGAGGCGCGGACGGCGCCGCAGGAAUCUGCCCCGGCUCCGGCGACUACCGCUGGCGCGGUUGCGCUGCGCUCAGCCGUCCCUGAUCCUGCGAAGGCUGGAGAAGACGUGACCUCGCCAGCUCCCCAGCAGACACAGUCGGGCAUUCGUCGCGUCACACGUGCCUCGCACCUGCGCCGUAAUUGCCACGACGAGGCCAAGGUGAUGGAGCUCUUUGAGCACCGCCACCGCCAGACGGGCAUUUCGCUGGAGAACUACGACAGCAUUCCGGUCGAGAUGGUGCCGCGCGAUGUAAAGCCUGUGGAGGACUUCGCCGAUCUGCUUGUCGAGCCGGCGCUGGCCGCUAACAUCGAGCGCUGCGGCUACAAAAAGCCGACGCCUGUGCAGCGGUACGGUAUCCCGGUUGCGCUGUCCGGUAGCGAUCUGAUGGCGUGUGCGCAGACGGGUUCUGGUAAGACGGCUGCCUUCCUGAUCCCCGUUGUGCAGUACAUGCUGGUCCACGGUGUGUCGCCGGCGCGCCAGCGCAAGAGCUACCCCAUUGCGCUGGUGCUGGCGCCGACGCGCGAGCUGGCCGUGCAGAUCUUUGACGAGGUUCGAAAGCUCACCUUCAACACGGAUAUCUUCUACGACGUCGUGUACGGUGGAACCCGCUACCCGCAGCGCUUCGAGCAGGAUAUCCUGGUCGCCUGCCCUGGUCGUCUGCGCGAUAUGUUCAACGAGGAGUACCUCUCUUUCUCCGCUAUCAAGUUUCUCAUUUUGGAUGAGGCGGACCGUAUGCUGGAGAUGGGAUUCGAGGAGCAGAUCGAGGAGCUCGUCGCGUCGCGCUACACCGAUAUGCCGACCGUCGAUGAGCGUCAGACCUUCAUGUUCAGUGCCACCUUCCCGCAGCGCAUUCUCAACCUCGCCAAGCGCUACCUGCGCCGCAAGUACUACUUGCUUACCGUCGGUCGUGUCGGGUCGACGACAAAGAACAUCACCCAGACGAUCGAGCACGUGCCGGACAACGAGAAGAUGGACCGCCUGCUGCAAAUCAUCUACGGCCACGAGAUGAGCGAUAUGGUGCUGAUCUUUGUGGAGACGAAGAAGAUGGCUGAGGACGUAAACCGCCGCCUGCACCGCGAGGGCAUCAGCAGCACCACGAUCCACGGCGACCGUCGUCAGCAGGAUCGCGAAGCGGCCCUUGAGGACUUUAAACAGAAGGUGACGCCCAUCCUGGUCGCGACGGAUGUGGCCUCUCGUGGUUUGGACAUCCCCGAUGUGGCGCACGUUGUGCAGUUUGAUCUGCCGCAGGAGAUGGACGACUACACGCAUCGCAUCGGCCGUACCGGCCGCGCCGGUAACAAGGGUAUCGCAACUGCUUUUUACAACCGGAACAACCGCCGCCUUGCGCUGGACCUGCACAAGUACUUUUCGGAGCAUGGCCAGGAGAUUCCCAAGUGGUUUCAGCAAGAGGCGGAGCUCGUGGAGGGCGAGGCGCUGCUGUCUCGCGACAUGGGAGGCGGUGGUCGUCGUCGUGGUGGCGGUGGUGGUGGUGGCGGCGGUGGCCACCGUUCCGGCGGUCCGGGCGGCCGGGGCGGUGGCGGUGGCUCAUGGGGUGACAGCCGUCCUUCUGCUCCGUCUGGCGGUGGUCGCCGGGGCGGCGGUGUGGACGACGGUGGCUUCUAAGGUGUCCCCACUUUGUUGGAGCGCUCUCUCCUCCCGCCCCCGCCCCCCCCCCUUGGCGCGCACUGUGCCGCAUAGUUUGGUGACGAGGACGAUUCCAGGCAAUGCCCACACACUCUAUCAGAUCUGCGCAGACGCGCACGCAUUCGCACCCACCAACGCGCAGUAAGUGGCCUUGCGAGAAUUGUCUUGCUUGUAGCUCUGUGCGUGUGCUUUGGUGGUAUUUUGUGUGUUUGUGUGUGCUCGUGAGGGAUCCUUCUCCUGGGCUCCCGCGCAGUGAAGGUGCUGUGUGCCAGGAAUCGGUUCCCAGUCUUCUCGUUCUCACGCCUCGCCAGGGUUCGCUGGGCGUUCUCCGUUCUUCCUACGCUUGACUUGUUUUCUGUUUACUGUUAAUGCCACCUGUGGGUUUGCGUGGUGCUCUGCACUGAAACGUGUGUGUGUGUGUGUGUGUGCAGGUAUGUGUGCAAGUGCAUGUAGGUGUCUUCCGUACGUUGGUGUCGGAAUGGAGCUUCUUUGCUUUGUGUUUGUGCUUCUUCCACUUCUUUCUUCCUUUUCGUUGCUGUUGUGGUUGCUCUUGCUCUCUCGGGGAUGAGCAUGUGCGCGUUGGUUGGGAUGGCUUUUCACUUCUUGUGGCUUUAGGCGUCGUGCAAGAAGGCAGCCUACACACACACACACACGCACAUACAUCCAUACACACCUGGACCCCCGCACGCACACGUGUUCUUCUCCUCAGAUUCUCGCUCCGGGCUUGUAUGUGUAUGUGCAUGUAUGCGUAUCAUUUUUUUUUUAGAUUUUUGUUCAUCCUUUUUCCUUUCCCACAGUUUGCCGCUCUACUGGGAGCAGUGAUGUUUUUGUCUCUCUGUCCUUCGCUUUCUUUUUUUCGCUCUCCCGUGUGACGUAAGAAAGAUCAUUCAUUAGUGGAGGGGGCCUCGCACCACCGCUACCCUUUCUUUGUCGUUAACGAGCAAAAGGAAAACGCUAUGAAGAGGCAAUCCCCCUCCCCUCCCCCGCUAACAAAAAAAAAAAACUGCAACCACAAACACAAGUAAAGCUGAAGGAGGGUGCUUAUAUAUUUGGCGAGGUGAAGAACAAUCCUUGACGGUAAAGAAUUUUUUUUGUAUGUGUUUGUGUGGGUGUCCUUGAAGAGAUCCGUUGGGAGAGAUGCCCGCUAAGUAAGUGGACAGGAAAACAUACGCACACAACAAUGAACUCUCCUCCCCAAAAAAGUAUAAGUUCAGAAGCCAACAACAAUCCCCUCUUUCUCCCCCCACCCCCAAAAAGAAAAAAAAACACAAAAACAAAAACGAAAACAAAAAAAAGAACAAUUAUUAAUUCCAGCUUACAUCACGGGUUGUGCCUGCCCCCGCUUCGUUUUUUUUUUCUAUGAUCUCCUCUUGUCGUCGUCGCUUUCUCGCCUUCUCUCUGUCACUUGCUUCAUCAUUUUCUUGUUGUUGUCUUGCGCUGUUUUUGUAUUGGCUUUUGCUUGGCUUUCUCGUCUCGUUUUUUUUUUCUCUGUUCUCCUCUUCGUUUUCCCUUUUUUCUCUUUUACAGAAGCAUGCACUCUCACCUACUCUAGCGAAACACACACACACACACACAAACACAAGCGCAUCCGCUGAGGCAAGGCACACAAACACCCGAUGGUGGCGUGUUUGUCUUUGUUCCGUUUUUUUUUUCGUUGUUGUUCUGUUGAUCAUCGAGUAUGUGGCUUGUUUCAUUGUUGUUUUGUGCGUGCUUCCGUGCGUUUGAAGAGGAGGUGUGCGUGUGCGUGUGCGUGCGCGUGCGCGCGUGUGUGUGUGUGCACGGUUUUCAACCUCUUUGUUGUUUUUGUCGUCGUUGAAUUGCUCGUUGCUUGUAACGCAAAGCAAAGAUCGCCUAGGCGGAUACAUACAUAUAUAUAUAUGUUUAUAUAUAUAUAUGUUUAUAUAUAUAUAUGUAUGUUUAAUAUUUAAUAUUAUAUAUAUAUAUAUAUGUGUGUGUAGUUAUCAAAGACGAAAGUUCAUUGAAGAGCUGCGCGCCGUAAGACAAAAGCCACGAACCUUUGCUUUUUCUCAUUGCCACAGCCCAUAGACACCUCCGCUGUUUCUCUUUCUCAGACUUUUCGUUUUUUUUUCUUUGUUUGGUUUGGUUCAGUGAUCCAUGGUCACUGACAAAAAGGCACGCGUCGACAUUCUCACCAUGUGUUACAUUUUCUCCGUAUCUCGGUAGCUCUCUGCUUCCUGUGAGCCUUUAUGCCCGCAUGCGUUGCGUCUUGUGGACGAGUUCUGAAAUUUGCACAAAAAAAAACCGUUCAUGCACGUCCAUACACGCGCAAGCACCUAUACAGCUGCGCUUACCCGCGUGUUCUCUGAUGUGUUGUCUACGACAAAAAGGAAAACGCAGUCGAAACCGAGAUUGAAAAGAAACGACGAGCACGAAGAAAUAAAAGAAGACGUAUAGUGUGUGUGUGUGUAGGCUGGCAGUGAGGGGGGUAACGAAGUGCGGAGGACGAGGCAUCAACAAUAAGAACAAAUACCACCCCCUUUUCGAGUCACUCAACAGAUUUCUUUUUCGUAUUUGUUUUCUCUCUUUCGUUCCUCUUCUCUUUUGCUAAUAGUGUGUACAAUGUUGCCGAGCAUGUAGAAGAGAUACGCGUGGCUUGGCGCGCGCAUGUGCGCGCUUGCGCAUGCGUUGAUGCACACAUCCCAGGUCAGUGUUUGCCUCCCUUCCACUUCCCGCUUUUUUUUUCUCUGCACAUCAUUUUCUUGGUGGCUUCUUCUCACGCUCUUUUUUUUUGGCUGACGUCGUAUUUUCGGGGUCUUGAGCCGUAAAUCAAGUGGAUGGACAAGAGUUAAGAAACGAAGAACCUGAAGGGAGAGAGAGGGCAUAGGCACACAUGUGAUGUGAAAAAGAAAAGGAGCGAACGCACUAGCAGCGACGCGUGCGCCAGGGCAGAAACACAGAAAAAAACAUCCCUCAGACACACACACACACACACACACACACACAUACUUCUCAAAUCGCAGGGAAACAAAAAAAAAAGAAUGUAACAGAAAGAGGUCUGAAAAGAACUGUUCAGGAAAAAAAAAGAGAAAGACAGCCAAGAAGCCGGGCCGCAUUUCGCCCUGCACACGCCACACUCUCCUCCUGUUUUCAGCUCCGCAACUAAAAGCUCGUUGUUCCUUUUUGUACUCGGUGGGCUUUGAGUGUGUAUGUGUGCGUGUCGUUUUUUUUUCCCCUCAUUCUUGCGCUCUUUUUUUUUCAUGUUCUCCAUUUUUUCUUGUUAGUUUUUUUUUCCGUUCUCUCUCUGUCUGUCUGUCUGUGUGUGUUUCUUCACUUGUAAGCGACGCAAGGGCAUAUAAUCCUGUUUCCGGUAACCGAAAAG
rnacentral:misc_RNA from 1 species